GGGAAGGGGCCAGGUAAAUGACCUUGGGGGGCCGCAUUCAACCCCCGGGCCUUAGUUUGGGGACCCCUGAUCUAGAUGCUAUUCCCCUAUUGAUGCAGGCCAGAAUCCCGUUGGCCUUUUUAGCUGCCGCAUCACAUUGUUGGCUCAUGUUUAACUUGUUCCCCACGAGGACUCCAAGGUCUUUUUCGCACACACUGCUGUCUAGCCAGGCAUCGUCCCCCAUUCUGUAUCUUUGAAUUCAAUUUUUUCUGCCAAAAUGAAGUAUCUUGCAUUUAUCCCUGUUGAAUUUCAUUUUGUUAAGUUUCGGCCCAUCUCUCUAGUCUGUCAAGAUCGUUUUGAAUUCUGCUCCUGUCUUCUGGAGUGUUGGCUCUCCCUCCCAGUUUGGUGUCUACAAACUUGAUGAUCGUGCCUUCUAACCCUUCGUCUAAGUCGUUAAUCAAGAUGUUAAAGAGAACCGGGCCCAGGAUGGAGCCCUGUGGCACUCCACUCGCUACUUCUUUCCAUGCUCAGUGUAGAUCAGCCAUGGGCAAACUUGGACCGUCCAGGUGUUUUGGACUGCAACUCACGCCAUUCCUAAUAGCCUCAGGCCCAACCAAGAACUCAUGAAGUCAUCCCUUUGACACCUGGGCAAACUGUGGCCCUCCCUCCUGAUGUUUUGGACUGCAACUCCCACCAUUCCUAACAGCCUCAGGCCCCUUCCUUUCCCCACGCAGCCGCUUAAGCGCCUGCGGGAGGAAAGGAAAGGGCCUGAGGCUGUUAGGAAUGGUGGGAGUUGCAGUCCAAAAACACCUGGACAGUCCAAGCUUGCCCAUGACUAGUGUAAAUCCAGACCAUGUCAGUCACCUAAGACCAUAAAUGGGAAUCUUCACUCUUGAUCCCCAUUGAGAAAAAGAGCAAUCUUUAGGCAGCUGCUGCAGCAUCGAUGUUACCUUGGGGUAAAAUACCAGCAUCUUUUACUUCCUUUCUCAAUGUACUCCCUUCCUAGUGAACUCACCCAAAAUAAUGUGUUAGAUGGAGGUGCCUGCUAUCAGUAGAGCCCGGAUGCAUCCCCGGCACAAAAGAAGGCGGGUGGAUUAAAACAAAGGAAGAUGCUUGCAAUCGCGCAAGCAUCAGUUGGGAUUCCUCUGCGUUCUUUGUGCUUCAUCCGUCUUCGGAGGUGCCAGGGCUUCCCUACCAGGCUGCAGCUUGCCGGCCUUUUUCUCUAGAGGAGACAAAGAAGCAGAAGCCAAACAAAGCGUUGUGGUGGGAACAGGGCGAGAGUGAGCGCACACAGAGAACACAAAGAGGAGAAAAGAGCCACUCGGAGGGCUUGGACUGAACCUUUCCUUCUUUUUUUUUUGUACAAGAUUGAUUUAUUAACUAUGAUACAUAUCAUGUAAGGCCUUUUAAGUUUUUACACCAUUCCCAAUGAGACACAUACAAGACUCUGUAGCAAAUACAUGAUUUUUUUUUCUUUUAAACUCAGCAGAAAAUGGGCUUUUUUUUCUUUGCUUGCCCAGAGCUUUCAACAUUAUCAUGCACUAAUUGGAUUGGCCUAGGAUGGGGAUGGAAAAGGGAAGGGAGGAGGGAGAGAACCACAAAAUUGUUAAAAAUGUGCUUUAAAAAGAAGCAUUUUUUUUUUUAAAAAAAGGAAACAUAUUCUAUCACCAAGAACGAAAGGAUGUUGUUAGGCUCCUAAAAAAUACAGAGAAAUAAACAUUAUACUUUACAUACAGAUCUUUUCAGGAAAAAAUAAUAAUAGUUGUACGUUUCCGUGAAGAACGUUUUGGGCACAUACUUAGCUGGAACUACGAACACAUUUUAUGACCAUUAAUAUCUUUUCUUUUCCUUCCUCUUCAAUUAAAAAAGUUAAUUCAACAUAUAUAGAGAUAAUUUUACAUGUGAAAAUACAAGUACCAAGUGGGAGGGGGAAAGAUAAGCUGAGUGCAGAACUAAAUCCGACUUUUUAGGACAAGUUUUAUUCCCAUACGAUUUCAGAAGCAGACAGGGCUCUUCUUUUUUUAAUGUACACAGGAAAAAAAUUAAGUUUUUUUUAUUUAAACAAUAACUUACGCCCUGCCUUAGACUACAUUUAAAAUACAAUAUUUCUAUUGUAUUUCAAUUUUACAAAAAAAAUAAUAAACCUGGUAAGUGGGGGUCAGCUGUAACAGUUAAAAGUAUGACCUAUGACGCAGGCAGUGAGGGGACAUGGGCCCCCAAGCCACCCCCAAACCCCACCGAAAUCUUACAGC
ensembl:lncRNA